AGAGUUUGAUCCUGCUCAGGAUGAACGCUAGCGGCAGGCCUAAUACAUGCAAGUCGAACGGCAGCACGAGUAGCAAUACUUGGUGGCGAGUGGCGCACGGGUGCGUAACGCGUAUGCAAUCUACCCUUGACUGGGGAAUAGCCCCGAGAAAUCGGGAUUAAUACUCCAUAACAUCAUCGAGAGGCAUCUCUUGGUGAUCAAAGUUCUGGCGGUCAAGGAUGAGCAUGCGUGACAUUAGCUAGUUGGUGAGGUAACGGCUCACCAAGGCUACGAUGUCUAGGGGUUCUGAGAGGAUUAUCCCCCACACUGGUACUGAGACACGGACCAGACUCCUACGGGAGGCAGCAGUAAGGAAUAUUGGGCAAUGGACGCAAGUCUGACCCAGCCAUGCCGCGUGCAGGAUGACAGCCCUACGGGUUGUAAACUGCUUUUGUACGGGAAAAAAACCUCGGACGUGUCCGAGGCUGAUGGUACCGUAAGAAUAAGGAUCGGCUAACUCCGUGCCAGCAGCCGCGGUAAUACGGAGGAUCCAAGCGUUAUCCGGAUUCAUUGGGUUUAAAGGGUCCGCAGGCGGAUUAAUAAGUCAGGGGUGAAAUCCUACGGCUCAACCGUAGAACUGCCCUUGAUACUGUUAGUCUAGAGUACAGUUGAGGUGGGCGGAAUGUGUCAUGUAGCGGUGAAAUGCAUAGAUAUGACACAGAACACCGAUCGCGAAGGUAGCUCACCAAGCUGUAACUGACGCUCAGGGACGAAAGCGUGGGGAUCAAACAGGAUUAGAUACCCUGGUAGUCCACGCUGUAAACGAUGGUCACUCGAUGUUGGCGAUAUACAGUCAGCGUCUGAGCGAAAGCAUUAAGUGACACACCUGGGGAGUACGAUCGCAAGAUUGAAACUCAAAGGAAUUGACGGGGGCCCGCACAAGCGGAGGAGCAUGUGGUUUAAUUCGAUGAUACGCGAGGAACCUUACCUGGGCUAGAACGUAGAAUGACGUUUCGUGAAAGCGGAAUUCCCUUCGGGGCAAUCUACGAGGUGCUGCAUGGUUGUCGUCAGCUCGUGCCGUGAGGUGUCGGGUUAAGUCCCAUAACGAGCGCAACCCCUAUCAUUAGUUGCCAUCAGGUAAAGCUGGGGACUCUAAUGAAACUGCCUACGCAAGUAGUGAGGAAGGUGGGAUGACGUCAAAUCAGCACGGCCCUUACGUCCAGGGCUACACACGUGCUACAAUGGCCGGUACAAAGGGCAGCUACCUGGUGACAGGAUGCUAAUCUUAAAAACCGGUCUCAGUUCGGAUCGAAGUCUGCAACCCGACUUCGUGAAGUUGGAUUCGCUAGUAAUCGCGCAUCAGCCAUGGCGCGGUGAAUACGUUCCCGGGCCUUGUACACACCGCCCGUCAAGCCAUGGAAGCUGGGGGUACCUGAAGUCGAUCACCGCAAGGAGUCGCCUAGGGUAAAACUAGUGACUGGGGCUAAGUCGUAACAAGGUA
rnacentral:rRNA from 1 species